rnacentral:piRNA from 1 species
UGAGAUUCUAUGUUCACUGAGCUCUUGGC